AUUGAACGCUGGCGGCAGGCCUAACACAUGCAAGUCGAGCGGAUGAGUGGAGCUUGCUCCAUGAUUCAGCGGCGGACGGGUGAGUAAUGCCUAGGAAUCUGCCUGGUAGUGGGGGACAACGUUUCGACAGGAACGCUAAUACCGCAUACGUCCUACGGGAGAAAGUGGGGGAUCUUCGGACCUCACGCUAUCAGAUGAGUCUAGGUCGGAUUAGCUAGUUGGUGAGGUAAAGGCUCACCAAGGCGACGAUCCGUAACUGGUCUGAGAGGAUGAUCAGUCACACUGGAACUGAGACACGGUCCAGACUCCUACGGGAGGCAGCAGUGGGGAAUAUUGGACAAUGGGCGAAAGCCUGAUCCAGCCAUGCCGCGUGUGUGAAGAAGGUCUUCGGAUUGUAAAGCACUUCAAGUUGGGAGGAAGGGCAGUAAGUUAAUACCUUGCUGUUUUGACGUUACCAACAGAAUAAGCACCGGCUAACUUCGUGCCAGCAGCCGCCGUAAUAC
rnacentral:rRNA from 1 species